UUUUCAUAGUCAUUUAAAGGGAAAGAUGUAAUAAGAAUCUGAAGGGUACCCGUUUGCAUGCAAAGGGUGGUGGGUGUAGGGAAUGAGCUGCCGGAGGAGGUAGUUGAGGCAGGUACUAUCGCAAUGUUUAAGAAACAUUUAGACAGGUACAU